GACGAACGCUGGCGGCGUGCUUAACACAUGCAAGUCGAACGGAAAGGCCCUGCUUGCAGGGUACUCGAGUGGCGAGCGGGUGAGUAACACGUGGGUGAUCUGCCCUGCACUUCGGGAUAAGCUUGGGAAACUGGGUCUAAUACCGGAUAGGAACCAUCUUUAGUGUGGUGGUUGGAAAGUUUUUUCGGUGUAGGAUGAGCUCGCGGCCUAUCAGCUUGUUGGUGGGGUAAUGGCCUACCAAGGCGGCGACGGGUAGCCGGCCUGAGAGGGUGUACGGCCACAUUGGGACUGAGAGACGGCCCAGACUCCGACGGGAGGCAGCAGUGGGGAAUAUUGCACAAUGGGCGCAAGCCUGAGGCAGCGACGCCGCGUGGGGGAUGAAGGCCUUCGGGUUGUAAACUCCUUUCGCUAGGGACGAAGCUUUGUUGUGACGGUACCUAGAUAAGAAGCACCGGCUAACUACGUG
rnacentral:rRNA from 1 species